rnacentral:rRNA from 1 species
CCUACGGGAGGCAGCAGUGAGGAAUAUUGGUCAAUGGGCGGAAGCCUGAACCAGCCAAGUCGCGUGAGGGAAUAAGGCCCUACGGGUCGUAAACCUCUUUUGCCGGGGCGCAAGGGCGGGGACGUGUCCCGGCCCGGAGAGUACCCGGUGAAAAAGCAUCGGCUAACUCCGUGCCAGCCGCCGCGGUAAUACGGAGGAUGCGAGCGUUAUCCGGAUUUAUUGGGUUUAAAGGGUGCGUAGGCGGGCUUUUUAGUCAGCGGUAAAAAUUCGGGGCUCAACCCCGGACGGCCGGUGACACUGGGGGCGUUGAGGGGGAGAGAGGAAGGCGGAAUGCGUGGUGUAGCGGUGAAAUGCAUAGAUAUCACGCAGAACCCCGAUUGCGAAGGCAGCCGUCCGGCGCCCUACUGACGCUGAGGCACGAAAGUGCGGGGAUCGAACAGGAUUAGAUACCCGAGUAGUC